GUUAACCUUGAGGUUAAAAGCAUCUGGUAAAAAUAAUCGUCGAUGUUUGGCUUGUGGUAAACCAACAGUCUUAAGACACGUACGGAAAUGAUUCACAACUGAAAAGAAAAUAGGAAUAUAAUCUAGGUUGAUCGAGUUUGACCACGAUGACGAAAUAUGGCGACGGACAUGUAGUCUAGUUCGUCAUCCCUGUAGGAAAAAGUCGUCAAGAAGCCGUCUUUCUAUUAUGCACCAUCUUGCAUUAAAAACCUUUUGUUUUUAUAACUCUACUGCUGACAACUCGUGGUUCCGUUAAAAUAGUAUCUACAUAACCUGAUCAGGUCUCAGUGUGAUGUUCAUAGGAGUUUUUCCAGACCCUUUGUGUAAUAUAAUAUUGCUUGAAUAGAAUAAAACCGAAAGUUGGCUUUGCGA